rnacentral:lncRNA from 1 species
GACAAUCGAUUAUUAAACACACACAAUCGAUUGUUGGAACAUAGGCAAUCGAUUGUUAGACAUACACAAUCGAUUAUUUGUUAUUUUUGAAGAACAGAUCACACUGUUUAAGACAAUCGAUUGUUAGAUAUAAACAAUCGAUUGUUGGUCAUUUUUGAAAAAUUCCGGACCUCACUGUAUCUGACAAUCAAUUGUCAAAUAUAGACAAUCGAUUGUUGGUCAUUUUUGAAGAACUCUGGACCUCACUGGAUAAGACAAUCGAUUGUCAAAUAUAGACAAUCGAUUGUUGAUCACUUU